CACUCAUUUCCUCCUGUAAGAUCAUAAUACAACCGAGCUCCAAUGAUGUAGUUGAAUUGGUGAAUGAUUAUUUAAAGAGACAGCUAGCAGCUUUGUUCGCCAGGACUUACAGCUCUGGGAAGUGGUUGGUUUUGAGAGAAAGACUUCGCAGUAUGACCUUCUGCUCAACUACCGUGAUUUCCUCCAUCAAAGGUUUAGCAUAGAUGUUGGUCCAUCAUCAAGUACAGUAGCAACAAUCAAAUUGAUUGAUGUGAAUAUUAUGAAGUUAACUAGUCUCCUUCUGAGCAAUCUUCUAGAUGUGGUUGAGGAGGCAUACUUGAUACAUGUAGAUCUUGAUAAUGUGAUUAAAACAAGUUUCCAUUCGCCCAGAGGUAAAAACGUUUCUUUCGUUCUCUUUCACAAGCUAUAUAUUAUGCAUAUAUUGUUUAAUCUAUCUUUAGCAUUUCCACUUUCAGCUCAACAAUGGUUGAUUUUUUUUUCGAAACCUACUCUUAGUUGUGAAUCGUGUUGUUUAUCCUACAUAUUAAUAGUCCCUAGUGCCGCCACGUUGACACAUCAACAAAAGAAGUCUAAAUGUGUAAUGCCUAAACUAGAAUAUGAUUUAAAGUUCUUGCAUAUCCCCAGAAGGUCUCCCUUUUUCACAUUUACAUAUAUCAGCAUAGUUGUGCACAAUUUAA